GUAGGUGGCAAGCGUUGUCCGGGAAUUAUUGGGGCGUAAAGCGCGCGCAGGCGGUUCUUUAAGUCUGAUGUGAAAGCCCACGGGCUCAACCGUGGAGGGUCAUUGGAAACUGGAGAACUUGAGUACAGAGGAGGAAAGCGGAAUUCCACGUGUAGCGGUGAAAUGCGUAGAGAUGUGGAGGAACACCAGUGGCGAAGGCGGCUUUCUGGUCUGUAACUGACGCUGAGGCGCGAAAGCGUGGGGAGCAAACAGGAUUAGAUACCCUGGUAGUCCACGCCGUAAACGAUGAGUGCUAAGUGUUAGGGGGUUUCCGCCCCUUAGUGCUGCAGCGAACGCAUUAAGCACUCCGCCUGGGGAGUACGGCCGCAAAGGCUGA
rnacentral:rRNA from 1 species